rnacentral:snRNA from 1 species
GCGAUUAGUAAUUGUUUUUAUAACGAACAUGGCUCUUGCCUUUUACCAGAGCCAUCCGGGUAUCGUCUCCACAUCUGUAUAGAUCGGUGCCUCUGUAGAUGAGAUUCGUCUCGCCU